GCAGAAAAAACACCUUAGUUUGAAACAACCAAAAUUUUGGUUAAAUUUCAAACUAACAAUCUUGUUGUAUUUAAUCCAAAAUUUGUUGUUCCAAACUCAUUGCUUUGUUUGAAACUAAUUUGUUUUAUAGGCUGUUUCAAUGUAGAAUCUUUGUUUCUUUUUAAUGUAUAUAAUGGUUGUUUCGAACUAAUUUUUUAGUUUGUUUUCACAAACAACUGGUUUGAUUUUACCAAAAACAAGGUUGUUUGUUUCUCCGACUAACAAUAAUUGUCAAGAUAAAUAAAAGGUUUGAUUCUACCAAAGCAAUGCUUUGAAACAAACUAAGAUUUUAAUCACGUUAAAAACAACCAAAGUUUUAGUUUGUUACAAACUAAUCUCAUGUGUUGUUUCUUUUUUUUGCUUUCCGUCAGAUAAAGGUAUAGUUAACUGCAGUUACCCUCGGAAUCGAAAAGAGAACAACAUAAUUGAGUGUGUUUUCAGUGAAAGGUUUUUCAAUUGAAUAUUCUUAUGAAUGUCCGGUUGAACUCUUUCGUUAAAAUGAAUGUGAAAAUAUUCAUGUAUCCAAGGCAACGAGAAACUGAUGCUGCUUCUGGUCCUCCAUUUUUCUAUUCUAUUCUUCAGCAGAGUGAUGAACAGAAAGUGAGUUAUGGCUAGAAACCGCCAGUAGAGAUCAUCUUUGACGGCGACAUUCUUUUGAUAGAAGGGCUUGUUGUUUCAGGAUUGUAAAUAAUAAUUAUUAAAAAAAACAUGUAUUUCAUGGAAUCUUGAAUAAAUGAUACUACAACAAACAUGCUUUGUCA